AGCUGCUCAGUGUUCGUACAGUCUCAUGCAGAGAGCGUGGAGGUGUUGUCCAUGGUGGAUGCUAGCCUAGACAACAUCCUCUCCUCCCCAGUCUGCUCAGUGGACUUUAGCAGACCGUUCCAGGACAGAGCUGGCCCUCCUGACCAGUUUGUUAAGUUUCCCCCUGCCCCUCUCUGCCAUUCCACAACUCCAGCAGACCACAGCAUAAAAGACAGCAGACGCCACCACAGUGUCGUAGAACAUCCUUAGCAGACAUACUACACAGUAAAAAAUGGAGAGUCAAUAUUUCAGUGUAAACCCAUUUUAACCUAGAGAGAGUAUUUACAACUCUGUGAGGAGUAAACCAGCUCUAACGUCAGAGUUAAAAGUCAGUGUAAAGUUCUAUAGACACGGAGUGAAGACAACUCCACACAGUGUUGAUUAGUACCAGUCUGCAUGCGCGGUCUCAGAGCUGUGUGACACAUGUGGAAUUUUCUCUGAAGAGCUGCCACAGUCAGAAUAUGUUGCUGCGUGUUUUGUUUGGUGGGGAGCAGAAGUAUGUUAGGCUGUCUGACCUGAGAUUUGAUGCUUUCAUGAAAGAAGUGUGCCUAAAAUUUAACAUACCAGAAGGCAGACAGCUAGAUAUGAAGGUGUUUGACCAGUCUGACACAGAAGUAGACGCAGAGGUGUUUGAAGAAAUAGUGAAGGGGUCACCUGGAACCUUCCGAGUCCUGCUGAGCAAUGAAGAACUUGGUAAUCACUCACAUACGUAUAUGUUAAAUUUAAAGGUUGAGAUUGGAGCAUUAACAGUUAAAUUUAAUGCUUCUGCUUUGGUCAUGCUCCUUAAUGCACAGGUGCAUCUCUAUCAUCAUCAUCUUCUCCAUCUGAUGAUACAGUCAUUCUAGACUUCACAAUGUGUGACCCUCCAGAAGAAGCAGCCACCACUGAAGGAAGACAACCUAAAAGGCCAUGCCAUAUAAACUAUGAGGCAAAAGCUGUGGGUAGUGAACAUUGUUAGUCUAAUUUGCAUGUUUGAUGUGAAGUGUUUUCCAGUUUUUCUCAAGGUUUAAAAAAUAUCUGACUUCAUAUUUUAUGUCUAUUUAAGUUGAUUGAAAAAAUCCUAACAACAAAGCCUGGUGGUGAACACAUCAUACAAGAGUAUGCAAAAACCAAAUCUCUGACAGAUGCAACCAGAAGACAGAUGAUAAACAUACUUGCUGCUGAGAUGACAGAAACACAUGGGUAAGAAUCAUAAAUGUAGUCUAUAAAGAAACAUUUUUAGUAUUGUAUUAUUUUUAAUUGUGAUGUUCAAUGCCAAUUGAGUGACGGUCAUCACUGAAUUUAUACAUUAGGACAUCUCCCCCUAAAAGUGUAAGAGUGACGUAUGCUCAGGGGAUUGUUGCUCUGUUUCCAUAUCUGGAAGACCCAUAUUCACAACAUGGAUAUGUAAGUAAAGGGGACUUUGCAACAUUAAACACAUAGGUCUCAGAAAUGUUGAUAACAUUCUGCUUGUAUUUAAUUACAUAGGAACAUUACUAUGAUCCAGAGAGCGGUUUAGGAUACCUUGCGUGGCGGUUGAAGACCAUUCAAAGAAAAGCUGCAGAGGAAAGAAGUGUCUCAGCUUCCAAAUCUCCUAAAGGUAAGUUCACUUGUGAUUUAAAUGAUUCUGAUCUAAUUUGUAGGCAGGAGUCAAUCAAAUAGUUUUUUCUUAAGUUGGCGGGCCAGGCCAUGGUCGAUCCAGACCACUCACCACUGAGACAGUGUUAUCAGAUGAGGAUGCAAAAGCAGCUAUUGCUCUUUUGAGACACUCUGCGGAUGAAGACACUAUCCGUGAAAAGAUGAAAGCUUCAUUUAUCGGCAUUCAAUGGUCAGCGAUGAUAAGAAUGCAGCAGAUGUCUUCAUAGUCUUCUCGCGGUUUCUGGACACACCAGGACUGGUAAGACAUCUUCAUUUGUUGAAUCACCGAAAUAUUCCAUGCAGCUUGCAAUUUCACUCAUUACACCUCUCUUAUCUUCUAUUUUUGCAUUAUAGAUAGAACAAGAUUUCAGACUCCUAUUUGAUGAGGUCACUGCCAACAAAUUCUUGGAGAGAUGGCCCAUCGAUCUUAAAUCAAAGGAAAGUAGUGGUGGGCGGAUCGAUCCAAAUAUCGAUAGUAUCGAUCCCAAGAUCGGUAUCGGAUCGAUACUUGCCUGGUGAGAUCGAUUCUUUACUUUGAGUUCUGCUUGUUUGCUACGCUGUGCUUUCGGCAACAGCCAGGUCGCUGGACUCGCGGCUCCUGUGACAGCGGAGAGCAGGCACACUUCUUAUGUUUCAGUGUUGCGCUGACACGUCACGUGACUUAGACACUUUGGGGGUUGUUAAGUUGUUUACAUAUUAAUAAUAUAUAUUGUUUUUGUUGUUGAGAAUUUUUAUUGUCAUUUUUGUAUUAUAGUUUAUCAACAGUAUUUGUUUUAAUUUGUUUACUGGUUUGCGUGCACUUAAGAUUAAAAAAAAAAAAAGAUCGCCACCACGGCAGACCCGAUGGCAUUUUCAUGCUUCGCGCACCAUUUAUUCUUACAAUAAUCCCACGGUUGCUGUAAUAGUACAUUCAACGGCUGCAGCUCUCCUGCUGGCAGCCGUACACAUCACCACCACCAAACCUGCAGCGGCCACCCCACGAGCAGGCGAGGGAAUCGGCCCGGACCGUCGGCGCCCCAUGCCCCGGCCCAGCGACGGGGAAGUGUCCACUCUGGCGGUCGCCCACGCCUCCAGUGGAAGCCCGGGAGCUGGCCUGAUGGCCACCCAUAUGGCAAGCAGAGGCGGCGGAGCAGGAGUGGAAGUGAACCGGGGCUCAGAGGCAGCUGGGCAGACGGCCGAAGCGGACAGCAUGCCGCCCUCAGGCAGGACCCCCACGCACCUCGACCUCCAUCUCCAGCUUGGCAGGUCCCGCUGGCGCGCCAGCCUCCGGCUCACCCCGAGCCGCGCGCUGUCCACCUUUACAGUGAUCCCCCGGUUGCUGUAACAGUAGCCUACAUUAAACGGCUGCAGCCCUCCUGCUGCCAGCUGUACACAUCAACACCAAAAACAACAGCACAAGCAGCGCACAGGUUUUAAGCCGGUGAGGCAUCAUUGUAGAUGCAGUGAAGGUGAGUCCAUCUCACCUGCAGCAGCAUUGCAGACCACAGCCGCCACAAUAAUAAAGCAUUGUUUAUUUAAUUAUAAAUUAAUUAUUUCUCCUAAUUAUGUCCCGGAUUUUAAGUAAUUAAUAAUACAAAAGGAAAAAUCACAAAAAAACCACUUAAGGUCAUGAAAAUGAAUUGCGAUUUAGCAAUUCAAUGAGGCAUCCACCCUAUUUAUUGAAAAGUAUCGGUAUCAGUAUUGGUAUCUGCGAUACUGGCCCGUAUUUACUUGGUAUUGGAUUGAUACCAAAAUAUGCAGUAUCGCACACCACUAAAGGGAAGUCAUGGACUUGUCUCCACCUCAGAGCUCUUGGAGUUGAUGUGCAAUGCUGAGUCAGCUACUGAAGUUGAGAAUGGUAUGACUGCUUUUAUUUGCCAUUGUUGGUUAUAUAGGUAAUUCUGUCUAUUGAAUGUAUUUUUGGAGUAAUUCUUUGUUUAUUCGUCUGUAGGCUGGGACAGUGACAUGUCUGCUAUCUUGCUGCUGCUACAUCUGCUACCGCCAUCUGCACAAGGGCGAAAGGGACCAGGAAAGAUGUCUGCAUCUCAAGCUGUCGAUAACCUCAUCAAAUUCCCAAAGGUAUGUUAUUUAAAAUAUAUAUUCCAUCACUGCCAUUGUAAUGUACAGUAAGGUGAUCUAAUCUAAUGGGAUAGUCACUAAAUACUGCUGUUUAAUGUGUUGUUGUAGGCUGGAACCAGUGUACAGCAGCAUCUAGACAACAUCACACGAAGCAGUCAGCCCUACCUUCUUGCUCAGGGACCCACAAGAAGCAGCAUUCACACCUUCUUCAUUGUGAUUGAAGCGUGCACUUCCAUGUAAAGCGACAGGUUCAGUAGGAGCCCUUGAUUAACUCUUUAAGGCCCAUUAUGUCUUUGAUACGUCAUACAGUUCAUCCCUGACCAACUUUUUCACUUUUCUGCAAACAACCAUUUACAACAUUGAUGUUGGGGAAACAAAGGAAACUCCCAGAGUUGCAGAGUUACGAGCAAGAAUGGUGCGUUAGUAUCCAUUGAGAUCAAAAUAAUGAAGUGCUCUCUUUGCAAAAGUGAUCAUGGUAGACCAAACAGCCUUGUAAAACACUUUAGGGUAAUUCAUGGUCUCUGUACUAGCAGGACACUAUAUCUCAAAUGUGGCCAAGUGGGAUGCUCACGUUCUUUUAGUAGUUUUUCUGGCUUUAGAAAGCACCUGAACAAAUGCCACGUAAGCAGUUCAUUUGAUUCUGAAGAACUAGAUUUUUCACCAGUUCAAAGUGUUACGGACACAAGUAUGCUGCUAAUGUUGACGUGGUGCCUGAACAUUUAGAGGCUGAGUCGGAAUUACCUUCAGAAGACCUUGUAAAUAGCUGUGCAGCAGUUAUUUCUGAUCUAAAGGCAGCAGGUGUAGGCCAAAGUGUAGUGAAUUCUGUAGUGAAUUCCAUGGAAGAAAU
ensembl:lncRNA